UACGAAGGGGGCUAGCGUUGCUCGGAAUCACUGGGCGUAAAGGGUGCGUAGGCGGGUCUUUAAGUCAGGAGUGAAAUCCUGGAGCUCAACUCCAGAACUGCCUUUGAUACUGAAGAUCUUGAGUUCGGGAGAGGUGAGUGGAACUGCGAGUGUAGAGGUGAAAUUCGUAGAUAUUCGCAAGAACACCAGUGGCGAAGGCGGCUCACUGGCCCGAUACUGACGCUGAUGCACGAAAGCGUGGGGAGCAAACAGG
rnacentral:rRNA from 1 species